CCCAGACUCCUACGGGAGGCAGCAGUGGGGGAUAUUGCACAAUGGGGGGAACCCUGAUGCAGCGACGCCGCGUGGGUGAAGGAGCGUUUCGGCGCGUAAAGCCCUAUCGGCAGGGAAGAAGGAGGACGGUACCUGACUAAGAAGCCCCGGCUAACUACGUGCCAGCAGCCGCGGUAAUACGUAGGGGGCAAGCGUUAUCCGGAUUUACUGGGUGUAAAGGGGGCGCAGACGGCAGCGCAAGCCAGGAGUGAAAGCCCGGGGCCCAACCCCGGGACUGCUCUUGGAACUGCGCGGCUGGAGUGCAGGAGGGGCAGGCGGAAUUCCUGGUGUAGCGGUGAAAUGCGUAGAUAUCAGGAGGAACACCGGUGGCGAAGGCGGCCUGCUGGACUGCGACUGACGUUGAGGCCCGAAAGCGUGGGGAGCAAACAGGAUUAGAUACCCCAGUACGA
rnacentral:rRNA from 1 species